AAUCUAUCACAAUCCACAACCGUGAACUUUAAUGUUGGCCUCUCAGUGAGCCUUAGGGUUUGCUGAGGCUAGGCGUUUGCUAAAUCUUUUAGCAUAUGCCUAGGCCGUUGCCUUGGCAUUUAUGCCUGGUGACGUCGGUCUUUACCAACCAACUAAAACCAAACCAAACCAAAUAAAAAUCGAGUGCACAGCUUAGAGCUGUCGCUCACCAACCAAGACAACUCUCAACAACGGAUAUCUUGGCUCUCAGAUCGAUGAAGAACGCAGCGAAAUGCGAUACGUAGUGUGAAUUGCAGAAAUACGUGAAUCAUCGAAUUUUUGAACGCAAAUUGCGCUCGAGGCUUCGGCCAAGAGCAUGUCUGCCUCAGCGUCGGGUUAAUACUCACUCUCUCCCACCUUGUGUGGGUUAUAUAGAGUGGAACUGGCUGUCCCGGAAAUCCUCACACGAUUGCCGGGUCAGCUGAAGUGCAGAGGUUGAUGCAUGGACCCGCUAAAGGGCCUCUACUGGGUAGGCAACUUGUUGCUAAUGCUUUAGUAGAUGGCUUGGGACUGUGCUUGUCGACCCAAACCAGGAACUUGGUCUCGACCAAGCAAACCCCAUUUUCGACCUGAGCUCAGGCAAGA
rnacentral:sRNA from 1 species